UACGAAGGGGGCUAGCGUUGCUCGGAAUCACUGGGCGUAAAGGGUGCGUAGGCGGCCGAGCAAGUCGAGUGUGAAAGCCCCGAGCUUAACUUGGGAAUUGCGCUCGAAACUACUUGGCUGGAGUGUGGCAGAGGAAGGUGGAAUUCCAGGUGUAGCGGUGAAAUGCGUAGAGAUCUGGAGGAGCACCGAUGGCGAAGGCAGCCUUCUGGGCCAACACUGACGCUCAUGCACGAAAGCGUGGGGAGCAAACAGG
rnacentral:rRNA from 1 species